rnacentral:rRNA from 1 species
GAUGAACGCUGGCGGCGUGCCUAAUACAUGCAAGUCGAGCGAACGGACGAGAAGCUUGCUUCUCUGAUGUUAGCGGCGGACGGGUGAGUAACACGUGGAUAACCUACCUAUAAAACUGGGAUAACUUCGGGAAACCGGAGCUAUUACCGGAUAAUAUUUUGAACCGCAUGGUUCAAAAGUGAAAGACGGUCUUGCUGUCACUUAUAGAUGGAUCCGCGCUGCAUUAGCUAGUUGGUAAGGUAACGGCUUACCAAGGCAACGAUGCAUAGCCGACCUGAGAGGGUGAUCGGCCACACUGGAACUGAGACACGGUCCAGACUCCUACGGGAGGCAGCAGUAGGGAAUCUUCCGCAAUGGGCGAAAGCCUGACGGAGCAACGCCGCGUGAGUGAUGAAGGUCUUCGGAUCGUAAAACUCUGUUAUUAGGGAAGAACAUAUGUGAAAGUACCUGUGCACAUCUUGACGGUACCUAAUCAGAAAGCCACGGCUAACUACGUG